UACGUAGGGUGCAAGCGUUAAUCGGAAUUACUGGGCGUAAAGCGUGCGCAGGCGGUUGUGCAAGACAGAUGUGAAAUCCCCGGGCUCAACCUGGGAAUUGCAUUUGUGACUGCACGGCUAGAGUGUGUCAGAGGGGGGUAGAAUUCCACGUGUAGCAGUGAAAUGCGUAGAGAUGUGGAGGAAUACCGAUGGCGAAGGCAGCCCCCUGGGAUAACACUGACGCUCAUGCACGAAAGCGUGGGUGGCAAACAGG
rnacentral:rRNA from 1 species